GAAAGACCCAUGGAGGAUGAUUUUUGUUUGGAGCUAGCAAAGAAUCACCCAUAUGAUGAUGUUGUGGAUAGAGUGGCUCAGCACCUUGGAUUGGAUGAUCCAUCCAAGAUUAGGCUUACUCCUCACAAUUGCUAUUCCCAGCAACGUAACCGAAGCCUAAUCCCAUCAAAUAUCGAUCUGUUGAUCAUUUGGUGGACAUGUUUAUCCACUACAAUCAGAUUUCUGAUAUAUUGUAUUAUGAAGUUCUUGACAUUCCUCUGCUAGAGCUGCAGUGUCUCAAGACACUAAAAGUUGCAUUUCAUCAGGCCACAAAGGAUGAGGUGGUAAUUAUCAAUGUUAGGUUGCCCAAAUAGAGUACUGUUGGAGACGUGCUUAAUGAAAUAAAAACAAAGGUACCAGUACUUUAUUGUGUUUUACUAGCACCAACUUUCUGGUUAUCAAUUGGAUUUUUUCCCUUUUCUUGUUUCACUACAC